rfam:Chlorocebus sabaeus isolate 1994-021 chromosome 12, whole genome shotgun sequence.
GCCGGGCGCGGUGGCUCAAGCCUGUAAUCCCAGCACUUUGGGAGGCCGAGACGGCCGGAUCACGAGGUCAGGAGAUCGAAACUAGCCAAGAGAAACGGGAAAAACCCCGUCUCUUCUAAAAAAUUCAAAAAAACUAGNNNNNNNNNNCUAGUUUUUUUGAAUUUUUUAGAAGAGACGGGGUUUUUCCCGUUUCUCUUGGCUAGUUUCGAUCUCCUGACCUCGUGAUCCGCCCGUCUCGGC